GACGAACGCUGGCGGCGUGCUUAACACAUGCAAGUCGAACGGUGAAGCGCCUUCCUUUUUGGUGGGUGUGGAUGAGUGGCGAACGGGUGAGUAACACGUGAGUAACCUGCCCCCUUCUUCUGGAUAACCGCAUGAAAGUGUGGCUAAUACGGGAUAUUCUGGGUCUGUCGCAUGAUGGGUCUGGGAAGGAUAUUGUUUCGGUGGGGGAUGGGCUCGCGGCCUAUCAGCUUGUUGGUGGGGUGAUGGCCUACCAAGGCGGUGACGGGUAGCCGGCCUGAGAGGGUGGACGGUCACACUGGGACUGAGACACGGCGCAGACUCCGACGGGAGGCAGCAGUGGGGAAUAUUGCACAAUGGGCGCAAGGCUGAUGCAGCGACGCCGCGUGAGGGAUGGAGGCCUUCGGGUUGUGAACCGCUUUCGCCAGUGAAGCAGGCCUGCCUCGUUUGUGGGUGGGUUGACGGUAGCUGGAUAAGAAGCGCCGGCUAACUACGUG
rnacentral:rRNA from 1 species